GACGAACGCUGGCGGCGUGCUUAACACAUGCAAGUCGAGCGAACAAAACUCCUUCGGGAGUGGAGUUAGCGGCGGACGGGUGAGUAACACGUGGGUAACCUGCCUUAUAGAGGGGGAUAGCCUUCCGAAAGGAAGAUUAAUACCGCAUAAGAAGUAGAAGUCGCAUGGCUUUAGCUUUAAAGGAGCAAUCCGCUAUAAGAUGGACCCGCGGCGCAUUAGCUAGUUGGUGAGGUAACGGCUCACCAAGGCGACGAUGCGUAGCCGACCUGAGAGGGUGAUCGGCCACAUUGGAACUGAGACACGGUCCAGACUCCUACGGGAGGCAGCAGUGGGGAAUAUUGCACAAUGGGCGAAAGCCUGAUGCAGCAACGCCGCGUGGGUGAUGAAGGUUUUCGGAUCGUAAAGCCCUGUCUUUUGGGACGAUAAUGACGGUACCAAAGGAGGAAGCCACGGCUAACUACGUG
rnacentral:rRNA from 1 species